GAUGAACGCUGGCGGCGUGCUUAACACAUGCAAGUCGAACGGUGAAUUCGGAGCUUGCUCUGCUGGAUCAGUGGCGAACGGGUGAGUAACACUUGAGCACUCUGCCCCUCACUCUGGGAUAUGCUCUGGAAACGUCGUCUAAUACUGGAUACGAGCUGCGACGUCAUCUUCAGCCGCUGGUAAGAACUUCGGUCAGGGAUGAGCUCGCGUCCUAUCAGCUUGUUGGUGAGGUAACGUCUCACCAAGGCGUCGACGGGUAGCAGGCCUGAGAGGGUGACCGGACACACUAGGACUGAAACGCGGCACAGACUAGUACGGGAGGCAGCAGUGGAGAAUAGAACACAAGAGGAGAAAGCAAGAUGCAGCAAAGCAGCGUGAGGGAAGACGGGCAUGGGGUUGGAAAGCAAUGUUAGCAGGGAAGAAGCGAAAGUGACAGUACCGGGAGAAAAAGCGCCGGCUAACUACGUG
rnacentral:rRNA from 1 species